AGGCCAGCCUGAACUGCAGAGGAAGAUUCUGUCUCAAACAAACAAACAAGAAAAACCCAUCACUGAGACAGUGGAAGCCCUCUCCACCCUCUGAGUACCACCUGGGUAUCUUUAAAUGCUAAGCAAGGGCUGUGAGGUGUGGCUCAGGGGUAGAGCUCCUACUUACAAGCCUGAGGCCCUGGGUCCCAUGGCCAGCCCAGCAAGGAAAAAAAAAAACUAUCCUUUUGCUCCUUGUGUUUUACUCAACUUCCUGUUGCCAGAUGCGCUAUAUCUCCAGGUCAUUUAAGAGGCUGCCGCCAUAGUCCACCCUCUCCACACCUGUUUCCUACUCUGCCUCCUGAAGAUGGAGGCUUCGAUGGCUGGCCUUGAACUCCACAGCUCAAAUGAUCUCAGCCUCCUGAGUAGCUGGGCCUAUAAAUGCACACAGCAGGUCAUUCCGGACUCCCGACGCUGCCAGUCCCUCGGUGAGACAUGAGCGCCAUUGGCGUCCAUGGCCUCUGUUUCCGUGGCAACCCAGUAACCAUUAAUUUUCAAUUAAAGGAGACAAAAAGCUCAAUGACAGCUCCAGGUCCGCUGAAGAUGUCAAGAAUGUGUAUUAAUAUACAGCACGAGAGCAUAAUUGUGUGUCCAUCUUCCAGUGCAGCGAAAAAUGGAGGGGUAAUUACCAGCUCGAAAGCCACUCUGUAAUUUAGUUCUUACUGUCACCACAGCCCUGCACAUUAGCAUAAAUUAAAAGCAGAGUUUAUUGUUAUC